rnacentral:rRNA from 1 species
CGACGGCGCACGGGUGAGUAACACGUAUGGAACCUGCCCGCAGCAGGGGGAUAAGCGGAAGAAAUUCCGUCUAAUACCGCGUAACACCGCAGAGGGGCAUCCCUCGGCGGUUAAAGAUUCAUCGGCUGCGGAUGGCCAUGCGGCGCAUUAGCUAGUCGGCGGGGUAACGGCCCACCGAGGCGACGAUGCGUAGGGGUUCUGAGAGGAAGGUCCCCCACACUGGUACUGAGACACGGACCAGACUCCUACGGGAGGCAGCAG